AGGUAAUAGAUACCCUGGUAGUCCACGCCCUAAACGAUGCAUAUUUGGUGUGGGCAGUUCAGUCUGUCCGUGCCGGAGCUAACGCGUUAAAUAUGCCGCCUGGGGAGUACAGUCGCAAGGCUGAAACUCAAAGGAAUUGACGGGGGCCCGCACAAGCGGUGGAGCAUGUGGUUCAAUUCGACGCAACGCGAAGAACCUUACCUGGGCUCGAACGGCUGGUCAACGGAGGUGGAAACAUCUUUACCCCGCAAGGGGGUCCAGUCGAGGUGCUGCGUGGCUGUCGUCAGCUCGUGUCGUGAGAUGUUGGGUUAAGUCCCGCAACGAGCGCAACCCUUGUCCUGUGUUGCCAUCAUUCAGUUGGGAACUCGCAGGAGACCGCCAGGGAUAACCUGGAGGAAGGUGGGGAUGACGUCAAGUCCUCAUGGCCUUUAUGUCCAGGGCUACACACGUGCUACAAUGGACGGUACAAAGCGCAGCGAACCCGCGAGGGGUAGCCAAUCGCAGAAAA
rnacentral:rRNA from 1 species